rnacentral:rRNA from 1 species
GAUGAACGCUAGCUACAGGCUUAACACAUGCAAGUCGAGGGGAAACGAUAGAGAAAGCUUGCUUUUUCUAGGCGUCGACCGGCGCACGGGUGAGUAACGCGUAUCCAACCUGCCCAUCACUUGGGGAUAACCUUGCGAAAGUAAGACUAAUACCCAAUGACGUCCAUAGAAGACAUCUGAAAGGGAUUAAAGAUUUAUCGGUGAUGGAUGGGGAUGCGUCUGAUUAGCUUGUUGGCGGGGUAACGGCACACCAUGGCGACGAUCAGUAGGGGUUCUGAGAGGAAGGUCCCCCACAUUGGAACUGAGACACGGUCCAAACUCCUACGGGAGGCAGCAGUGAGGAAUAUUGGUCAAUGGGCGAGAGCCUGAACCAGCCAAGUAGCGUGCAGGAUGACGGCCCUAUGGGUUGUAAACUGCUUUUAUAAGGGAAUAAAGUGAGCCUCGUGAGGCUUUUUGCAUGUACCUUAUGAAUAAGGACCGGCUAAUUCCGUGCCAGCAGCCGCGGUAA